rnacentral:rRNA from 1 species
UACGUAGGGGGCGAGCGUUGUCCGGAUUUAUUGGGCGUAAAGAGCGUGUAGGCGGCCAGGUAGGUCUGCUGUGAAAACUCGAGGCUCAACCUCGAGACGUCGGCGGAAACCAUCUGGCUAGAGUCCGGAAGAGGAGAGUGGAAUUCCUGGUGUAGCGGUGAAAUGCGCAGAUAUCAGGAAGAACACCCGUGGCGAAGGCGGCUCUCUGGGCAACAACUGACGCUGAGGAGCGAAAGCGUGGGGAGCGAACAGG